rnacentral:lncRNA from 1 species
UGCAGGCCACAAGGAGGGCUUCAGGUGCUGUGUGCACAGACACAUGGAAGGCAGCUGUGUAGGUGAACACUGCAGCUCACACCUGCCCUGUGUCCUCCGUGGGUGACAUCCAGCUGUCCACACCUUAAGCCCUGAUGUCUGAGGGUUCUCUAGAUGUCUGUCCAUAUCCUGAGUUCUACACCCCCAUAUUCAACCAGCUAUGGCUGCAGUCAGCAGCACACCUCAAUCACAAACUGGCAUCUCCCGCCAGCGCCUGACAAACAGGAGAUCAGUGCUGGUUCCCCGAGGCUCGCAGCACCUAGAGAAACCUGAAGUUUUCCAGACCGCCCCGCUGUCAUGGCAACAGCAGGAGAAACAAACAAAGCUCACAUCAAGCGACUGAACACAAAGCCAUACCAUUAUUUUAAUAAUCGGCAAUGGCCACGCGGGGCUGAGAGCAGCAGGCUUUCAGGGCACUGCCGCCAACGUGUCUCUCUCUUGAGAUGUCUUGAAGUGCUCACCGACACGUGUGGGCCUUGGCACUCAGAUCAUGCCUCCAGCUUGGAGUCCCCUCUUGUGUAGACCCUUACUGCCUACAGUGGUCACCAACUCGUGGGCUUGGGAAGCCAGGUGGCCAGAUGGUUAGAGGCUCCAGCCUCAGGCCAAGCAGCCCUGGGUGCAAAUCCAAACCCUGCACCUUCCAAGCUGGUGAUGGAAGAAAUGGCAGUACUGGUACAAUUACAUCUCCCUGCUGAACCUCUGUUUACAUGGUGAAGAUCUACUUGGGGAGUCAUUCAAAUGUUAACCAGGCUUUAUUGAAAACCUGCUGGAGCUUGGUGUUGCAAAAGGUCCUUUUGUUUGCUGAGCCCAGGUCCUCACAACAUCAAUAACACACAUGUAAGCUCCUAAG